rnacentral:lncRNA from 1 species
UUUCAUGCAAAUAUGGAGUGAAUUUUCUAGAGUAUUACUUGUGGUUUGCAAUUAUAUUAAGUAACUUUUUCUUAACACUCACCACAUACACACACACACUCACACUCACAUCCACAUUCACACUCACUCUCACUCUCACACUCACACUCACACUCACACUCACACUCACACUCACACUCACACUCACACUCACACUCACUCACACACACUCACUCUCACACUCAGACACACACACAUAUACACUCACACUCACACACACUCACAUUCACACGAACACACACUCACCACACACACUAACACUAGUAUUGACACUCACACGCACAUACUCAUACACUCACACACGCUCACUCUCGCACAUUCACGCUCAUGCUCACAUUCACACUCA